GUGGGGAAUCUUAGACAAUGGGGGAAACCCUGAUCUAGCCAUGCCGCGUGAUCGAUGAAGGCCUUAGGGUUGUAAAGAUCUUUCAGGUGGGAAGAUAAUGACUGUACCACCAGAAGAAGCCCCGGCUAACUCCGUGCCAGCAGCCGCGGUAAUACGGAGGGGGCUAGCGUUGUUCGGAAUUACUGGGCGUAAAUCGCACGUAGGCGGAUUGGAAAGUUGGGGGUGAAAUCCCGGGGCUCAACCCCGGAACUGCCUUUAAAACUCCCAGUCUUGAGUUCGAGAGAGGUGAGUGGAAUUCCGAGUGUAGAGGUGAAAUUCGUAGAUAUUCGGAGGAACACCAGUGACGAAGGCGGCUCACUGGCUCGAUACUGACGCUGAGGUGCGAAAGCGUGGGGAGCAAACAGGAUUAGAUACCCGAGUAGUCC
rnacentral:rRNA from 1 species